rnacentral:piRNA from 1 species
UGACCUGAAUGAUGGCAAGCCUCAAU